CGGGGGGUGCAAGCGUUGUUCGGAUUUAUUGGGCGUAAAGCGCGUGUAGGCGGUUUUUUAAGUCUGAUGUGAAAGCCCUGGGCUCAACCCGGGAAGUGCAUUGGAUACUGGAAGACUUGAAUACGGGAGAGGGCAGUGGAAUUCCUAGUGUAGGAGUGAAAUCCGUAGAUAUUAGGAGGAACACCGGUGGCGAAGGCGGCUGCCUGGACCGAUAUUGACGCUGAGACGCGAAAGCGUGGGUAGCAAACAGGAUUAGAUACCCUGGUAGUCCACGCCGUAAACGAUGAGAACUAGGUGUUGCGGGUAUUGACCCCUGCAGUGCCGUAGCUAACGCAUUAAGUUCUCCGCCUGGGAAGUACGGUCGCAAGACUA
rnacentral:rRNA from 1 species